GGAGGAGAGCGGGAUCAGGAAUGUCGCCGCCGAGGGCCGCCACGGUCGGCGGCGGCGGCGGCGGCGGCUGCGGCGACGGUGGAAGGAGGUGUGAGCUGCGCAAGGAUGGCGUCUUUGGGCGGUGAGUCAUUUCCCUCGUGCGCAAGCGCGGCGGUCCAACUCAUUGGCUCCUGCCACCACCACGGCGAGUUCCAACCCUAGGAACGCA
rnacentral:lncRNA from 1 species